GAUGAACGCUGGCGGCGUGCCUAAUACAUGCAAGUCGAGCGAACGGACGAGAAGCUUGCUUCUCUGAUGUUAGCGGCGGACGGGUGAGUAACACGUGGAUAACCUACCUAUAAGACUGGGAUAACUUCGGGAAACCGUAGCUAAUACCGGAUAAUAUUUUGAACCGCAUGGUUCAAAAGUGAAAGACGGUCUUGCUGUCACUUAUAGAUGGAUCCGCGCUGCAUUAGCUAGUUGGUAAGGUAACGGCUUACCAAGGCAACGAUGCAUAGCCGACCUGAGAGGGUGAUCGGCCACACUGGAACUGAGACACGGUCCAGACUCCUACGGGAGGCAGCAGUAGGGAAUCUUCCGCAAUGGGCGAAAGCCUGACGGAGCAACGCCGCGUGAGUGAUGAAGGUCUUCGGAUCGUAAAACUCUGUUAUUAGGGAAGAACAGAUGUGUAAUUAACUGUGCACAUCUUGACGGUACCGAAUCAGAAAGCCACGGCUAACUACGUG
rnacentral:rRNA from 1 species